UAUAACCGGCGAUUUCCGAAUGGGGAAACCCAGUGUGAUUCGUCACACUAUCAUUAACUGAAUCCAUAGGUUAAUGAGGCGAACCGGGGGAACUGAAACAUCUAAGUACCCCGAGGAAAAGAAAUCAACCGAGAUUCCCCCAGUAGCGGCGAGCGAACGGGGAGCAGCCCAGAGCCUGAAUCAGUGUGUGUGUUAGUGGAAGCGUCUGGAAAGGCGCGCGAUACAGGGUGACAGCCCCGUACACAAAAAUGCACAUGCUGUGAGCUCGAUGAGUAGGGCGGGACACGUGGUAUCCUGUCUGAAUAUGGGGGGACCAUCCUCCAAGGCUAAAUACUCCUGACUGACCGAUAGUGAACCAGUACCGUGAGGGAAAGGCGAAAAGAACCCCGGCGAGGGGAGUGAAAAAGAACCUGAAACCGUGUACGUACAAGCAGUGGGAGCACAGAGCAAUCUGUGUGACUGCGUACCUUUUGUAUAAUGGGUCAGCGACUUAUAUUCUGUAGCAAGGUUAACCGAAUAGGGGAGCCGAAGGGAAACCGAGUCUUAACUGGGCGUUAAGUUGCAGGGUAUAGACCCGAAACCCGGUGAUCUAGCCAUGGGCAGGUUGAAGGUUGGGUAACACUAACUGGAGGACCGAACCGACUAAUGUUGAAAAAUUAGCGGAUGACUUGUGGCUGGGGGUGAAAGGCCAAUCAAACCGGGAGAUAGCUGGUUCUCCCCGAAAGCUAUUUAGGUAGCGCCUCGUGAAUUCAUCUCCGGGGGUAGAGCACUGUUUCGGCAAGGGGGUCAUCCCGACUUACCAACCCGAUGCAAACUGCGAAUACCGGAGAAUGUUAUCACGGGAGACACACGGCGGGUGCUAACGUCCGUCGUGAAGAGGGAAACAACCCAGACCGCCAGCUAAGGUCCCAAAGUCAUGGUUAAGUGGGAAACGAUGUGGGAAGGCCCAGACAGCCAGGAUGUUGGCUUAGAAGCAGCCAUCAUUUAAAGAAAGCGUAAUAGCUCACUGGUCGAGUCGGCCUGCGCGGAAGAUGUAACGGGGCUAAACCAUGCACCGAAGCUGCGGCAGCGACGCUUAUGCGUUGUUGGGUAGGGGAGCGUUCUGUAAGCCUGCGAAGGUGUGCUGUGAGGCAUGCUGGAGGUAUCAGAAGUGCGAAUGCUGACAUAAGUAACGAUAAAGCGGGUGAAAAGCCCGCUCGCCGGAAGACCAAGGGUUCCUGUCCAACGUUAAUCGGGGCAGGGUGAGUCGACCCCUAAGGCGAGGCCGAAAGGCGUAGUCGAUGGGAAACAGGUUAAUAUUCCUGUACUUGGUGUUACUGCGAAGGGGGGACGGAGAAGGCUAUGUUGGCCGGGCGACGGUUGUCCCGGUUUAAGCGUGUAGGCUGGUUUUCCAGGCAAAUCCGGAAAAUCAAGGCUGAGGCGUGAUGACGAGGCACUACGGUGCUGAAGCAACAAAUGCCCUGCUUCCAGGAAAAGCCUCUAAGCAUCAGGUAACAUCAAAUCGUACCCCAAACCGACACAGGUGGUCAGGUAGAGAAUACCAAGGCGCUUGAGAGAACUCGGGUGAAGGAACUAGGCAAAAUGGUGCCGUAACUUCGGGAGAAGGCACGCUGAUAUGUAGGUGAAGUCCCUCGCGGAUGGAGCUGAAAUCAGUCGAAGAUACCAGCUGGCUGCAACUGUUUAUUAAAAACACAGCACUGUGCAAACACGAAAGUGGACGUAUACGGUGUGACGCCUGCCCGGUGCCGGAAGGUUAAUUGAUGGGGUUAGCGCAAGCGAAGCUCUUGAUCGAAGCCCCGGUAAACGGCGGCCGUAACUAUAACGGUCCUAAGGUAGCGAAAUUCCUUGUCGGGUAAGUUCCGACCUGCACGAAUGGCGUAAUGAUGGCCAGGCUGUCUCCACCCGAGACUCAGUGAAAUUGAACUCGCUGUGAAGAUGCAGUGUACCCGCGGCAAGACGGAAAGACCCCGUGAACCUUUACUAUAGCUUGACACUGAACAUUGAGCCUUGAUGUGUAGGAUAGGUGGGAGGCUUUGAAGUGUGGACGCCAGUCUGCAUGGAGCCGACCUUGAAAUACCACCCUUUAAUGUUUGAUGUUCUAACGUUGACCCGUGAUCCGGGUUGCGGACAGUGUCUGGUGGGUAGUUUGACUGGGGCGGUCUCCUCCUAAAGAGUAACGGAGGAGCACGAAGGUUGGCUAAUCCUGGUCGGACAUCAGGAGGUUAGUGCAAUGGCAUAAGCCAGCUUGACUGCGAGCGUGACGGCGCGAGCAGGUGCGAAAGCAGGUCAUAGUGAUCCGGUGGUUCUGAAUGGAAGGGCCAUCGCUCAACGGAUAAAAGGUACUCCGGGGAUAACAGGCUGAUACCGCCCAAGAGUUCAUAUCGACGGCGGUGUUUGGCACCUCGAUGUCGGCUCAUCACAUCCUGGGGCUGAAGUAGGUCCCAAGGGUAUGGCUGUUCGCCAUUUAAAGUGGUACGCGAGCUGGGUUUAGAACGUCGUGAGACAGUUCGGUCCCUAUCUGCCGUGGGCGCUGGAGAACUGAGGGGGGCUGCUCCUAGUACGAGAGGACCGGAGUGGACGCAUCACUGGUGUUCGGGUUGUCAUGCCAAUGGCACUGCCCGGUAGCUAAAUGCGGAAGAGAUAAGUGCUGAAAGCAUCUAAG
rnacentral:rRNA from 1 species